AACAAAAAUUUAUGCAAAUUGAAACAUCUUAGUAGCAUAAGAUAAAAAAAUCAAUCGAUAGUUUGGUAGUAGUGGCGAGCGAAUCCAAAAAUUUGUUUUUCUAAGAAAAAUAAAAUUAGGUCUUAUUUAAAUUUUUAAUUAUAACGUCAUUUUUAAAAACUAUAAAAGGUACUAGUCCUGUAAAAAAUACUAAAAUUAAAAAAAAAUUAUGAUUAAAGUAAAUUCUAAAAUUGCUUGAAUAUUAGGAGAACCCCCUUCUAAACCUAAAUUUCUUUUUUAACCGAUAGUGAAUGAGUAUUGUGAAAGAAAGGUGAAA
rnacentral:rRNA from 1 species